rnacentral:lncRNA from 1 species
AUAUAAUUAUAUAGUUUGAAAUGAUUUUUCUUGGAUUGCAAGGGUCUUGGAAAACUCCACUUUGGUGAAGAAUGUACUUCCCUUGAAAUUUACACAUUGUGAUUGAAUCAAUGAUUUAGCAAAACAUAAAGAGAGGCACGUAUGCUAUUCUACUCUAUGACAUAGUGAUAUUCAUUUAUGCAUAUUCAAUGAAUUUUUGAGACAAUAUUAUUAUCCAAGACCAAAAAAAUAUACAAAAUAAAUAAAUAAUAAAAAUAAAAAAUCUCAAACUCAUAGUUUAUUAAUUCACUUGUGGUUGCAAAUGUAGCAUCUGAUAGAUCUAAUGAAAUCUUGGUUCAUGGUUUCAUGCAGAAGUGAAAAAUGGAGCUCACCUUCUUGAAGCGUGCAUGAAGAACAACCUUAUAUGCCUUUCCAAUGUCAUCAUUUAUGACAUUAAGUAGGAUCUUGUUCUACAAUAUUUCAAUCUUGUCUAGUGACAAGUUAGGGAGAAGGUAGUUCUAGAAGGAAGAGAAAUCAAACAUAUAUUUGGGUAUGCAU